rnacentral:lncRNA from 1 species
CCAGAUCUCUAAUCCAUCAUGACUUUAUGUAGCUACAUUCCUUUGCUGCUUUAUAAACUCCCAAUUUUAAUCAGUUGAGAGAGAUGGAUUUGAGACUGAUCGCCUCUCUCUCUAGCUGAUGUCACCUGAAUAAAAAGCCUUCUUCCCUGGCAAUACUCAUUGUUUCAGUGAUUGGCUUUCUGUGCAGGAAGCAACAGGGUCCUCCCCUGGUACUUCAGUAACAGAUUUUGGUUUCCUGACUGGGAAUGUGUUGCUCACAGUUCACUGGCCACAGGCCAGAAGAGUUUCAGAAGACCUCCUAGGCAGCUGCCUGUCUUUGUUUUUUUGGCCAAAGGAUUAGAAAGCAAUGCUUUCCUCCAGUAUAACUUGAUGCUGUACUCUUGGCUUUUCUUGAUAACGUCUGAAUUGCUCCACGUAACCAGAAAACUUCUCAUGCUGUUCCCCUGCUCAAGUCCACUGGAUGCUUCAGGUCUCCAGCCCAGCCCCAGGAGAGAAGUCAGUGACCCAGACCUAAGUCAACCAGUGCACAGCAUUUCCCCACAUCAGAGUCAAGAUGAAGAAGUGGGCAUGACCUAAAUCAGUUCAACCAGAAUUAAUCCCACAAGUUUUAUAGGAUCACCUGGAAAAGAGGCAGAGAGUAGUAAGUCUGUAAGGCUAGAACAGCUAUAGCAAUGCUACUGACCAUGGGGAAUUUAAUCCAGAUGAAGCAGAAAUGAGAGAUGGAGAGAAGAGAGUCCUGGUGAUCCCAUCUGAGCCCCUCCAUCAAACAUCCCUACUUGUAUUUUUCACUUUCAACUGCCAUUAAAUACUCCUUUUGCUAAGCCCAUUUUGGUUGGUUUUCUGUUACUAACCACUAAAAUUACUGGCUAUAAUGAUUUCAGAUAAGUCAGAUGUUACUAUAUGGAAAUCAAUAUUUAUCAAGCCAAUAUAAGCGUGUAUCAAUUAAUACUUCUAUCCCCAGAUUCUAUUUUCCUCUUAUACUAAACUUCAGGAAUUAUGAAUUCUUCCUGAACGUAAGACUACUAUUUUUUGUAGCUGUAACCUAAAGCACAUUGGACUAUUCCUUCUUGUCUUCUUAUAACCCCAAAAUAGGAAUUAUAAUUUCUUACUGAAAUUUCCCUAAAUUUUUUCUCACCAAAAUUUAGUUAAUUUUUCCCUAAAAUUUCUUUACUAUAUUUCACUGAAAUCUACUAUGUAGUAUUUUCUCUAGAUGAAAACUUUCCCUGAAAAUUGCAAGAAGUGAAAACAUUGGCUUUGAAAUGAUAGAUAAUUCAUAAACUAUUCUUAAGGAUUAUUCUCAGGAAUAAUUAUUUUGUCUGGCCUACAUAACCCUAAAUAGUGGUAAAAUAUACAGUAGUUUAAAACAUGGUUAGGGGCCCAAUCUAGAACAAAGAAAAACUGCCUGUGAGUAAAACAGUCAAACAUGUUUUAGACAUGUCUCGCAUCCACCAGUGUGAGUCGAGUGCAAAGGGUUACUGUAAACUGACCAGGUAUUAGCAGGUCAUCUUCAAACCCACAUCAACCCACCUCACCUCAGAGCCAGUUCUAGGACCCUCCACGGGUCAGCCUAAUUUCCCUUGGCCCAGCCCAAGCUGGCUCUUUCUCUUUGCACAGCAAUGCUCACACACCCUGGCCAAAAAAGCUUUCGAAGUAUUUCUUUUUGAAUGAGCAUAAAGUGCCUAUUGAGACCAAGAAAGCCUCCUUAUUGUGGGGUUGACCUUACCACUGUGUCCACAUUCCCCAGAGGUAUGGACAGUAGCUACAGCUGAGGAAAUGUCAUUCAGCAGUUUUUUGCGUAUGAAAUUUGAGAAAUUUGCAUGAUACAUGUGGAGCCAAUUGUUCAUAUCUAAGCAUAUUAGCUGUUUUUCUCCUGAGAACACAAAAAAGUUAUUGAGAGUGAAAAGAAGUCCCAUUGGAGGAGGGGAAACCUGAGGGGCCUCCCUGAGUACUAUUCACUGCAGGCCUCAUUUCAUUCCCAAUGACUUCUGUGGAAGCCAAUUUAAAGAAGGUCACAGGUAUUUACCUUUCUUCCCUGUCUGUUUCAAUCUGUUUUAUAGAGAAGGAGUGAAAAUGCCAAUGCCAAUGCUCAUUCUUGAGCCCUUGGUGCAUUCGUUCUGCAGAUUUUUUUAAUACAAGGGUAGACUUUUAAAACAACAAAAGAAAAUGUCAUUGGAAUAGACUUAAGCUUUACUUUGACUUAAGAUAGAUUUCAUUCCUUGGCUUAGACUGGAUUACAUUCACCUAGUCCUGUCAUUUCUUACUAAGGGAGGAGACCACCCCUCAUAGUGUAUUAUGCCCAAUUUCUGCCUCCAAAGAAAGAAGUAAAAACUAAAAGGCAGAAAUGAAAUCCACAAGCAGACAGCCCGGCACCACACCCUGGGCCUGGUAGUUAAAGAUCCACCCCUGACCUAAUCGGUUAUGUUAUCUAUAGAUUAUAGACAUUGUAUAGAAAAGCACUGUAAAAAUCCCUGUCCUGUUCUGUUCCGUUCUAGUUACCAGUGCAUGCAGCCCCCAGUCACGUACCCCCUGCUUGCUCAAUCGAUCACAACCCUCUCACACAGACCCCCUUAGAGUUGUGAGCCCUUAAAAGGGACAAGAAUUGCUCACUCAGGGAGCUCGGUUGUUGGAGACAUGAGUCUUGCCGAAGCUCCUGGCUGAAUAAAGCCCUUCCUUCU